rnacentral:lncRNA from 1 species
CUACAGGUGAUACCGUCACACACCCCCUCCCCGUGCUCACUCAAUCCGUGCCCACACACCCGGGGGCCAGCCUGCACCUGUCACAGCUGAACAAACUCACACACCGCGGCUGCGACACACCGCCUGACGCCCCCGCCAGAGACAAGGCGCCCGGCUCCGCCAACCCCACAGACACGUCAAGGCGGCUCUCACAGCCCCGCCGUCCGCGCCAGAGCCCACGCGCGUGGAACUCACGCGGAGCGGAGCGGAGGCGUCCUAGCCCGAGGCUCACACGCACCAGGGAUGGGUGGGCGGGCACAGCCGCGGGAUGAGGUCGGGUCGCCUCCCCCCUUCACACACUCACGCGCAAGUGCGUCACAACCGCAGGGACCCGGCCCGUGUCCCUCACCGACGCCCACGCGCACCUCAGUCUGUAGACAAGGCCGAGCCCCAUCACACACACACAUAUACACACACACACGCACACGCUCGCACUCCCUCCGCAGCUCCCGAAGCCACAGGCCGACGCUCCGUUUCGGGCCUCUUGACCUUUUUCCUCACCGCCACCGCCCGCCGCUUUCCACUUCAGGUUUCCUCCCGGGAUGCUAAUUACUCACGGCUCUGGGCCCAACAACUAACAGGGUGUCGGAAGGGAGAGAGCGCAGCCGUGCAGGUUAACUCCAGACAGCGUCGCCAGGNNNNNNNNGCUUGAAAAAAAAAAAAAAAAGCGCAGAAAGCGCAUCUCCCAGCAUGCAACUCCCCGGGAGGCUAAUAGGCUCGUGCCCCCAGAGCCCUCUGGGAAACGUAGUCCAAAAAACGGGGAAUUUGCGAAGCUGAAAGCUCAUGGGCUCUUUUUCCCAGCAUGCAACUCCGCACCGGCCCGACUAGAGCUGUGCCUCAGAGCCUUCUGGGAAGUGUAGUUCUCAUCUCGGGUAAUACACAGGGUUCCUCAGAAGGCAUCCCUCCCUGCGUAUAAAAGAGCUGUGGCCCCCAGACUUGAGACGGAGUGUAUUGCAGAGUCGCAGAGUUUGUAAAUGCUGGGAAUCCUGCCAGCCGUUCAGAUUUCUUUUAUUACUCAUUUUAGUAUUAGUAUCAUUACUGCUACUACUUAAAAAAAGAAAAAAAUCCUUUUUAUUUUAUACUGGAGUAUAAAUGCAACCCACACCAGUAUUGUUUGCCUGGAAAAUUCUAAGGAAAGAGGAGCCUGGUGAGCUGCAGUCUAUGAGGAUGCAAAGAGUCAGACAGGGCUGAGCACAAAUUACACUUAUAGCUGAUUAAUAAUGUGGUGAUAGUUUCAGGUAGACAGCAAAGGAACUCAGCCAUGCAUAUAUAUGUAUCCAUUCUCCCCCAAAUUCCCCUCCCAUCCAGGCUGACACGUGACUUUGAGCAGAGUUCCCUGUGUUAUACAGUAGGACCUUGUUGGUUAUUCAUCUUAAAUAUAGCACUGUACAUGUCCAUCCCAAACUUCCUAACUAUCCCUUUCCUCCUCCUUCUAACAGGGGGAAAAAAGCGUUAUUAAGUUUUUACAUAUACAUGUAACUUCUUACAUGUACAUCUUGGACUUCCCAGAUGGCGCUAAUAGUAAAGAACCCCCCCUGCAAAUGCAGGAGAUUUAAGAGACCAGGGUUUNNNNNNNNNNNNNNNNNNNNNNNNNNNNNNNNNNNNNNNNNNNNNNNAGUAUUCUUGCCUGGAGAAUCCCAUGGACAGAGGAGCUGGGUGGGCUACAAUCCAUCACGUCGCACAGAGACAGACACAGCUGAAGCGACUUAGCAUGCACGCAUGUACGUGAGAGCUUUCAGAAAAGAAUGAAGACCUGAAGAAUUGACCAGAGCAGUAAGCUUUUAUACCUUUUAGACAAAGAAAGGAUAAAUUUGUUAAGUAUUGACAGUGCAAUGGGCAAGUGAGAGUUCGGUUAGGGCUUGGUAAUCAACCAGUUCAUUCUGAAGGAGAUCGGCCCUGGGAUAUCUUUGCAAGGAAUGAUGCUAAAGCUGAAACUCCAGUACUUUGGCCACC